rnacentral:lncRNA from 1 species
GGUGGUGGUGUACAAUGAGGAGAGAGAGACAGAUCUAGAGAGGGGUAAGGUAGGAGACUACAUCGGAUAAUACAGAGGAAGUAGUUACUUUUUAUUUCUUUUUUCUUUUGUUUUUUCUUUGUGGGGGUGGGAGUAGUUGUUCAAGGGCAAUUGGGAUUUCUACCAGGGCUUCCAAAGUAAAAGUAAUGGCCCCAAUCCCCAUUGCUGCCAGUCUGGACAUCAUAGCAGUUGGACUGCUCA